rnacentral:rRNA from 1 species
UACGAACUGUGCGAACGUUAUUCGGAAUCACUGGGCUUAAAGGGUGCGUAGGCGGUUUCUUAAGUCAGGUGUGAAAUCUUUCGGCUCAACCGGAAAACUGCGCUUGAUACUGGGAGACUAGAGUGAGGUAGGGGUGUGUGGAACUUCCGGUGGAGCGGUGAAAUGUGUAGAUAUCGGAAGGAACGCCAGCAGCGAAAGCGGCACACUGGGCCUUUUCUGACGCUGAGGCACGAAAGCCAGGGGAGCGAACGGG